GUGUCAGCCGCCGCGGUAAUACAGAGGUGGCAAGCGUUGUUCGGAAUUACUGGGCGUAAAGGGCGCGUAGGCGGCUGGGAAAGUUCUGUGUGAAAUCCCUCGGCUCAACUGAGGAACUGCACGGAAAACUGCCCGGCUUGAGUUCGGGAGAGGGAAGUGGAAUUCCGGGUGUAGCGGUGAAAUGCGUAGAUAUCCGGAGGAACACCGGUGGCGAAGGCGGCUUCCUGGACCGACACUGACGCUGAGGCGCGAAAGCUAGGGGAGCAAACGGGAUUAGAUACCCUUGUAGUCC
rnacentral:rRNA from 1 species